UGCAAUGGUAAGAAUAUUUUCAUUCGGUGAAAGAUGGAAUGUUCCAUUCAACUCGGCUGUCGCCUCGUUGAAUGGAACAUUCCAUCUUUCACCGAAUGAAAAUAUUCUUACCAUUGCA